rnacentral:piRNA from 1 species
UCAGCAAUAGUGACUGGGAUUGGUGUCU